UGGGGAAUUUUGGACAAUGGGCGAAAGCCUGAUCCAGCAAUGCCGCGUGUGUGAAGAAGGCCUUCGGGUUGUAAAGCACUUUUGUCCGGAAAGAAAUCCUUGGCUCUAAUACAGUCGGGGGAUGACGGUACCGGAAGAAUAAGCACCGGCUAACUACGUGCCAGCAGCCGCGGUAAUACGUAGGGUGCAAGCGUUAAUCGGAAUUACUGGGCGUAAAGCGUGCGCAGGCGGUUUGCUAAGACCGAUGUGAAAUCCCCGGGCUCAACCUGGGAACUGCAUUGGUGACUGGCAGGCUAGAGUAUGGCAGAGGGGGGUAGAAUUCCACGUGUAGCAGUGAAAUGCGUAGAGAUGUGGAGGAAUACCGAUGGCGAAGGCAGCCCCCUGGGCCAAUACUGACGCUCAUGCACGAAAGCGUGGGGAGCAAACAGGAUUAGAUACCCUGGUAGUCCACGCCCUAAACGAUGUCAACUAGUUGUUGGGGAUUCAUUUCCUUAGUAACGUAGCUAACGCGUGAAGUUGACCGCCUGGGGAGUACGGUCGCAAGAUUAAAACUCAAAGGAAUUGACGGGGUCAUAGCUGUUUCCU
rnacentral:rRNA from 1 species